AGCGAACGCUGGCGGCGUGCCUAACACACGCAAGUCGAGCGCAGGCAUUUCGGGGGUAACCCUGAGAUGUGCUGAGCGGCGGACGAGUGAGUAAUACGUGGACAACCUACCUUCAAGCCUGGGAUAACUCCGGGAAACUGGAGCUAAUACCGGAUAAGACCACGGCGUCCAUGGAUGCUGAGGUAAAAGGCGGCUGGGCAACUGGCUGUUACUUAAAGACGGGUUCGCGUCCCACCAGGUAGUUGGUGAGGUAACGGCUCACCAAGCCUAAGACGGGUAGCUGGCCUUAGCGGGUGGUCAGCCACACGGGGACUGAGAUACGGCCCCGACUCCUACGGGAGGCAGCAGUGGGGAAUAUUGGGCAAUGGGCGAAAGCCUGACCCAGCGACGCCGCGUGGGGGAGUGAAGGCCUUCGGGUC
rnacentral:rRNA from 1 species